UACGUAGGGCGCAAGCGUUGUCCGGAAUUAUUGGGCGUAAAGAGCUCGUAGGUGGCUUGUCACGUCGGGUGUGAAAGCUUGGGGCUUAACUCCAGGUCUGCAUUCGAUACGGGCUGGCUAGAGGUAGGUAGGGGAGAACGGAAUUCCUGGUGUAGCGGUGAAAUGCGCAGAUAUCAGGAAGAACACCCGUGGCGAAGGCGGCUCUCUGGGACGGUACUGACGCUGAGACGCGAAAGCGUGGGGAGCGAACAGG
rnacentral:rRNA from 1 species